UUAAGCGACUAAGCGUACACGGUGGAUGCCCUGGCAGUCAGAGGCGAUGAAGGACGUGCUAAUCUGCGAUAAGCGUCGGUAAGGUGAUAUGAACCGUUAUAACCGGCGAUUUCCGAAUGGGGAAACCCAGUGUGUUUCGACACACUAUCAUUAACUGAAUCCAUAGGUUAAUGAGGCGAACCGGGGGAACUGAAACAUCUAAGUACCCCGAGGAAAAGAAAUCAACCGAGAUUCCCCCAGUAGCGGCGAGCGAACGGGGAGCAGCCCAGAGCCUGAAUCAGUGUGUGUGUUAGUGGAAGCGUCUGGAAAGGCGCGCGAUACAGGGUGACAGCCCCGUACACAAAAAUGCACAUGCUGUGAGCUCGAUGAGUAGGGCGGGACACGUGGUAUCCUGUCUGAAUAUGGGGGGACCAUCCUCCAAGGCUAAAUACUCCUGACUGACCGAUAGUGAACCAGUACCGUGAGGGAAAGGCGAAAAGAACCCCGGCGAGGGGAGUGAAAAAGAACCUGAAACCGUGUACGUACAAGCAGUGGGAGCCUCUUUUAUGGGGUGACUGCGUACCUUUUGUAUAAUGGGUCAGCGACUUAUAUUCUGUAGCAAGGUUAACCGAAUAGGGGAGCCGAAGGGAAACCGAGUCUUAACUGGGCGUUAAGUUGCAGGGUAUAGACCCGAAACCCGGUGAUCUAGCCAUGGGCAGGUUGAAGGUUGGGUAACACUAACUGGAGGACCGAACCGACUAAUGUUGAAAAAUUAGCG
rnacentral:rRNA from 1 species